UUUAUGGAGAGUUUGAUCCUGGCUCAGGACGAACGCUGGCGGCGUGCCUAAUACAUGCAAGUCGAGCGAAUGGAUGGGAGCUUGCUCCCUGAAAUUAGCGGCGGACGGGUGAGUAACACGUGGGCAACCUGCCCUGUAGACUGGGAUAACUUAUUGCUAGUAAUCGCGGAUCAGCAUGCCGCGGUGAAUACGUUCCCGGGCCUUGUACACACCGCCCGUCACACCACGAGAGUUUGUAACACCCGAAGUCGGUGGGGUAACCUUUUGGAGCCAGCCGCCUAAGGUGGGACAGAUGAUUGGGGUGAAGUCGUAACAAGGUAGCCGUAUCGGAAGGUGCGGCUGGAUCACCUCCUUUCUAUGGAGUUAAAACUCUAGUCGAUGCUUUUCUUAGGGAAAAGUACCGCUUGUGCAUUUGUGUUCAGUUUUGGAAGAAUGAUCUUCCAAAUUAUAUAGUUUGCUGAUUUGAAUUCAGACCGUGCGUCUGCGUCUACAAGUGUCGCUUCGAAGUGAACUUCCUCGACGCAAAGCAGCAUGAAGCUAAUUCACAGUUGCAUCUCAUGAUGUAAUUGAGGUCAGUAGCUUUUUUGAGAGAAUAAUCUCUCUUAAUAAGUAAUUAAGACAAUUUAGAAGCAAGAAGUUCGAGGAAGUGACUGAGGAAAUCACCGGAGUGUGCUUAGGGGCACAUGAGGAUGAUUAACGAAGGAACUGACGAAGAAAUUCGACGCUUAUCAAUUGCCAAAAGGUAAAUACGAAGUUUAUCAUUUGCCGACUCGUUCUUUGAAAACUAGAUAACAACUAAUACAUUUAAGUUUUACCGGAAGUCAUUAUGACUUUGAGUAAAUCUUGAGUAGUCAAGAAUUCAAUUCGACGAACUUCUAUAUUUUUUACACUAUGUAAAGAUGUAGAGGCGAAUUAGAAGCGAGAAGAUCGAGGAAGUGAAGGGCCGAGGAACGGAACGUAUGUUCAACGAUACGUGAGUACCGCAGGCACAAAACUGACGAAGAGAUUUGAAGCUUAUCAUUCGCCGACAGGUUAAGUUAUGAAGGGCGCACGGUGAAUGCCUUGGCACUAGGAGCCGACGAAGGACGCGACGAACAGCGAUAUGCCUCGGGGAGUUGUAAGUAAACUUUGAUCCGGGGAUUUCCGAAUGGGGGAACCCACCAUCCGUAAUGGGAUGGUAUCCAUAUCUGAAUACAUAGGGUAUGAGAAGGCAGACCUGGGGAACUGAAACAUCUAAGUACCCAGAGGAAGAGAAAGAAAUAUUCGAUUACCUGAGUAGCGGCGAGCGAAAAGCCGGAAGCCGGAAUUGCUAGUAAUCGCGGAUCAGCAUGCCGCGGUGAAUACGUUCCCGGGCCUUGUACACACCGCCCGUCACACCACGAGAGUUUGUAACACCCGAAGUCGGUGGGGUAACCUUUUGGAGCCAGCCGCCUAAGGUGGGACAGAUGAUUGGGGUGAAGUCGUAACAAGGUAGCCGUAUCGGAAGGUGCGGCUGGAUCACCUCCUUU
rnacentral:rRNA from 1 species